rnacentral:lncRNA from 1 species
AGAAUGAUGGAACAUGUCUUUACCUGAGUUGCCUUGAAAACCCGGGAGGCUGGAAGUUACCUUUUUGAGCCAGGAUUCAAAAUCAUUUUAAACUUCCUAAAAUCACUUCCAAAAGAAGGAGAGAUGCUUUCAAGAGAGAGGCUGUACUGGAGUCACCACUUUGCUGACAGGUUGGCCAUUGGAAGUGAGAAGCAGAAGUCCAUAAGGAGAAGCAAAGGGUAUGUUCAAGUAUGUUCACGGUGUGUUCAAGAGCCACAAUUCAGGAAGUUCCAUAUGAAGAAAAGUAUAUUCUGCUGUCACUGAUGGGCUUGUUUGCACCCUCAGGAGUAUAGCACAGCUUGAAGAAAUUGUACUGCUAUGAGAUUUAUAGCCAACCAGCACCAACUUACUCAAUAUAAGUGGAAAUAAUUGUUCUCUAAAGUAUAAGAAUAUUACAUAAAAGAUUACCUAUUCUGAAAGAACUUUGUGGUCUUUAAGUGCUGGAUCAAACCGCCAAAUUUUAAGAAGCACAUAAUUUCUGUUCCUGUCUAUAUAACAUUAAUUUGGGUCCUUUGUGAUUAUAGAAAGCAGACUUCAUGUACAAGCUCACAUUCUGUUCUUUUGUUAUAAUAUUCCUGCUUUCUUUACCAAAUGCAGAUACUCAGUAUUACUUUUCACAAAUAUCAGACAGUUCUUGGCUAAAUGCCCUUUUCACUGCAUAUUCUCUGAGUCCUGAACAGAAAACAAUUCAGUGUGCUUGCUUAGUUUUUUAAUUUUUCCAUUGUGUAUGAACAAUGUAGCAGAUGUUAAGGAACGUCUUCUAUCUUAUCUUUCACCAUGGAAAAAAAAAAAAAAAAGGAAUUAUUAUACCUACUUGCACACCUGGAACUGAAGUAUACAAACAGCAUUCAAAUUUCCAAACAAUAACUAAUUGUGGAUGCUGAUUGCAGAAG